rnacentral:rRNA from 1 species
AGGACGAACGCUGGCGGCGUGCUUAACACAUGCAAGUCGAGCGGAAAGGCCCUUCGGGGUACUCGAGCGGCGAACGGGUGAGUAACACGUGAGCAACCUGCCCUUAGCUCUGGGAUAGCUCCGGGAAAACCGGAAUUAAUACCGGAUACGACCUAGGCCGACAUCGGCCGUGGUGGAAAGUUUUUCGGCUAGGGAUGGACUCGCGGCCUAUCAGCUAGUUGGUGGGGUAAAGGCCUACCAAGGCGACGACGGGUAG